CAGAGGAAACCGGAAAGAGUGGACGUGUUUUCGUUUAGGUAAAGAGAGUUAGGUACUGUAUGUAACUGUGUUUAAAGUCCGAAGUUUUACAGUGUUUGUUACCCUGGAAAAUGUUAACAUUACCCCAGCUUGUUGCUAUUUUCGGCCUGUGCGUCACUGAAUUUGCGCACCUGGGCAAUGCUUUGUUAAUUAACCUGUUGAGGCCACGUGAUGCAGCUCACUCACAACAGAGGAGAGUGUGGAAAAUGCAUUUCCGGUCAGAGUUUCUGAUUUCCUUUGGCUGAGCAACACCCACUCUGCUGCACCAGAGGUGGUCUGCAGGGAGGAGCUCACCUGCUGCAUGACAGUGGACAAAUCUCAAGACUUCACCUGUGUCUAACUUCAGACUGAAAGAAGCUUCUUCAAGAACCGGCCUUAAAGACGGACAAACAUGCCCACACACUGAGCAGCUUACCUGACUUGCCGACCCCCGCUCUGCCGAAGACGGCCAGCUUCACCUCCGGGCUUUUGGCCAUGACAGCAGCUGUGACCAGGGAGGAUCAAGGAACCAAUCAGCAAGCUCCAAGCUGUCUCCAUUUUCACUGGUAUCGCCCCCACAAGCUUCUUCAGGCACCCUUGGGAUCUCCCUGGACCCUAGUUUGGCAAGUACCAGUGUAGGACGUGCUGACUGCUCACUGAGAUGUGUGCUAUUAUGCAACACUCAGAGCUGCUCAUGAAUGCCAAUUACCUCCUCGAACCCAACAGGAGGAGGAUGACGCAGAUGAUGCAGCAAAGUAAAAUAAAACUGCAUGUUUUUGAAA